UAGCGGCUCACCAAGGGUGACGAUCAGUAGCUGGUCUGAGAGGAUGAUCAGCAUCACUGGGACUGAGACACGGCCCAGACUCCUACGGGAGGGCAGCAGUGGGGAAUAUUGGACAAUGGGCGCAAGCCUGAUCCAGCCAUGCCGCGUGGGUGAUGAAGGCCCUAGGGUUGUAAAGCCCUUUCGGCGGGGAGGAUAAUGACGGUACCCGCAGAAGAAGCCCCGGCUAACUACGUGCCAGCAGCCGCGGUAAUACGUAGGGGGCGAGCGUUAUCCGGAUUUACUGGGCGUAAAGCGCGUUAAGGCGGCCGACAAAGUUGGUGGUGAAAUAUCAGGGAUCAACUCUGAAACUGCCUCCAAUACUAGUCGGCUUGAGUGCGAUAGAGGAAGGUGGAAUUCCCGGUGUAGUAGUGAAAUG
rnacentral:rRNA from 1 species